rnacentral:siRNA from 1 species
AACUUGCUUUCGUUUAUGGUGUG